GAAAACACCUCCAGCUUGUGGCUAAUUAUUUUUUUCCUCUGGAAGAUAAGCAAACAUGGAGUUUAUUUGACCUGUGCACCUUGUACCAGACUCUCUUUCCAAAUACUGCUCUUUAAAACAGCAAUUAAAAUAUUAGAGACAGGGAAGAGAAUGCUGCUGGCAGCAGGAAGGAGACGAGCAUGGCCUGAAAUCCCAGCUGCUGCAUUGAGGUGGUCAGGGCCUGUGGCUGUGCCCCUGCAAGACGUGGGCUGAGUUUCCAGCCUUGCUGAUCCUGCCCAGGUCUAUGACAUCUGCUGUUUCCCCACUGAGAGCCCAAGCCUGGGAGUGUGUAGCUGAAGGAGACUCAUCAGUGCAGCACGAGGUUCCGUGUCCCAUUCUCCAGGGCAGCCAGGCACGGCCCAAGCUGGGACCCAGGGCUGUGACUGCCUCUGUCUCACUCACUGCUCUCCAUCCCUCCCCAAGGGCUGGAAGGAAGCAAGCGCCACGGCUGUGGCAUCAGCCAGGAGGCUCUGCCGUCCUUUGGAGUCCGAUCCUCACGCGUUCAGCCUGGGCCUGGGGGAGCCCCACACCGUUCCUGCCGCUGGGAAAUGCCCGGAGAGCCUGUCCCUGCUGCCAGGCAGGGCUGCCAGCCCCUGUGCCACGGUGGGAGCCGGGCAGGGCCCAGCACCGCGCGCCGCCUGGGCUUCCCCGGCCUCCGUUUGCAGCGCGUGUGCCACUUGCUGUCCCCGUCUAAAUCGGGCUCAGAUGCUUCAGAAGACACAGGCAUACACAGAAAUGGAUAAUCAUGGAGACCUUUAUCCACAGGAAAAACUCUUAGUGUGUUUCUGUGCAAGAUAUUGCAGAGGGGUUUGUAUCCUCUUCCACAAAACCCAGCGGAAAUAAGUGUUUCACUUUGGCACCGAUCUACAUAUUCAUGUUUUUCUGCAUCCUGUUAAAUAUUUGCUCUCAGCAACAUCCACUGGCAAUGAGUUCUACAGGUUUGUUCUGGAGGUUUUUUGAGUGUCUGUGUCCACAGAGUGUUUCCUCUGAUGAUACUGGUAUCACCUAUCUUCUUUGCUGGUUUGCCAAUUUCCCAAAGAGGUGUCACUUGUGAUUGUCAUUAACGUGGUGUCACUUCCUUUGAGUGCCAGGAGGCUGCUGUGCAAGGUGAGCUACAGUGCCCAUCCUCCCGUGAACUUUAAAGUGCAUUUGUACAAAGGAUGUUUUAAAACACAUUUUAAAGUAUAUAGUAGAGGAUGGGGAGCUCGGGUGACUCCUUACCAAGGCAGCAAGGUGUGGGAUGGGGGUCCCAUGUGCUGCUGACCCCUUGCCCCCAGCACGGGUGCCUGUGGGGGCUGUGGGUGCUGUGGGUGCUGUGACAGGCUGUGGGUGCUGUGGGUGCUGUGGGUUCCUGUGGGCUCUGGGGUCAGUCCUGCUGGCUGUGCAGUGGGAUGGACUGGACCCAGGUGAGAGCUGGGAGCCCUGCUCCAGGCUGGGGCUUUGGUGCCUGAGUCAGACCCGAGGCUGGGCUUACCUGGGACUUUGCCUCUUCCCUUUAUUUAUUUCCUUGUUUCAGCCCUUGAGUCUUCUGGGCUGCUGGGACCUUUGCAGAUGUUCCCAGCAGCACUUCCUGGCUCGCACUCACUUUCCUUCUCUGUCUUGGGUGCUUUUGAUCCAUGCACGGGAUUUACUGGUUUAAUUAAUCUAAUCUCUGCAGUAUCAUCCUGCUAACUGAAAUAAUUCCUGACAAUGUUUUGUUGAUCCCUGUGACUGCCGAAUGUCAGCAAAGUGAUGUGACAGCAUAUGGCAGAAUUUCUUAUCUGUGAUGGCUCAGUUUAGCAUUUUAGAGGUUUUUUUUCAAGUCCUUUUCCUUUUAAUCAGAGUUGUCUACUUGCUAAGAGAUUAGGCUGGUUUUGUGUGUUUCCUCUUUGAUAAAACUAUGGGAUUUAAUGUUCUGUGAAAUCCCGUUGUGUUCCCACAGACUUUUGCAGGAGCAAACUUCACACACAAAUCACUGGGUGUUACUGCAGUGAAAGGCAGUGGUGGGGUGCACACGCUUGAAGUAUUAAGAGUUGUUUAUUUUUAAAUGCUUGCAGAAAGGAAAAUGCUCUUUAAUUCAGUACCUGUCUGGAUCCAUCCAGGACUGCUGCCAGCAAUGGCAAUGCCAUGACUUCAGCCCCUCAGG